AAGGAAUAUUGGACAAUGGAGGCAACUCUGAUCCAGCCAUGCCGCGUGAAGGAAUAAGGCCCUAUGGGUUGUAAACUUCUUUUAGACGGGACAAAACCCCUUUACGUGUAAAGGGUUGAUGGUACUGUCAGAAUAAGCAUCGGCUAACUUCGUGCCAGCAGCCGCGGUAAUACGAAGGAUGCAAGCGUUAUCCGGAAUUAUUGGGUUUAAAGGGUGCGUAGGCGGACUAAUAAGUCAGUGGUGAAAGCCUGCAGCUUAACUGCAGAAUUGCCAUUGAUACUGUUAGUCUUGAGUACAGUUGAGGUAGGCGGAAUGUGUCAUGUAGCGGUUAAAUGCUUAGAUAUGACACAGAACACCGAUUGCGAAGGCAGCUUGCUAAGCUGUAACUGACGCUGAGGCACGAAAGCGUGGGGAGCAAACA
rnacentral:rRNA from 1 species